GUCCACGCCCUAAACGAUGUCUACUAGUUGUCGGGUUUUAAUUAACUUGGUAACGCAGCUAACGCGUGAAGUAGACCGCCUGGGGAGUACGGUCGCAAGAUUAAAACUCAAAGGAAUUGACGGGGACCCGCACAAGCGGUGGAUGAUGUGGAUUAAUUCGAUGCAACGCGAAAAACCUUACCUACCCUUGACAUGUACGGAAGGCCGGAGAGAUUUGGCUGUGCUCGAAAGAGAACCGUAACACAGGUGCUGCAUGGCU
rnacentral:rRNA from 1 species